CUGGAAAGUCCGAUCCUCGUAGAUCGGUGCGAUGUGGCGGUCUGGGGACAUGGCUGACCUCAAAUCCUGGCCCAGCUGGCUGUGUUGACUGGCGUAUGAGCUCCGCAUUCCUGUGGAUAUACGAUUUUGGUUAAUGAGACGAACAGACUGGAGCAAAAAUAAUAAACACUGCACUAAAUGGGCCACCCAACCAGAGCCAAUAUGGUCGCUCAAAAAAAGCACGUGAACCAAUCAGAGCAGAAGUCAGAGCAGAUGUUGGG